UUCCGGUUGAUCCCGCCGGACCCGACUGCUAUCAGAGUGGGACUAAGCCAUGCGAGUCAACAUAGCAAUAUGUGGCAUACGGCUCAGUAACACGUAGUCAACAUGCCCAGGGGACGUGGAUAACCUCGGGAAACUGAGGAUAAACCGCGAUAAGUCACUACUUCUGGAAUGGGUAAUGACUCAAACCUACAUGGCCCCUGGAUUGGACUGCGGCCGAUCAGGCUGUUGGUGAGGUAAUGGCCCACCAAACCUGUAACCGGUACGGGCUCUGAGAGGAGGAGCCCGGAGAUGGGCACUGAGACAAGGGCCCAGGCCCUAUGGGGCGCAGCAGGCGCGAAACCUCUGCAAUAGGCGAAAGCCUGACAGGGUUACUCUGAGUGAUUUCCGUUAAGGAGAUCUUUUGGCACCUCUAAAAAUGGUGCAGAAUAAGGGGUGGGCAAGUCUGGUGUCAGCCGCCGCGGUAAUACCAGCACCCCGAGUGGUCGGGACGUUUAUUGGGCCUAAAGCAUCCGUAGCCGGUUCUGCAAGUCUUCCGUUAAAUCCACCUGCUUAACAGAUGGGCCGCGGAAGAUACUAUAGAGCUAGGAGGCGGGAGAGGCAAGCGGUACUCGAUGGGUAGGGGUAAAAUCCGUUGAUCCAUUGAAGACCACCAGUGGCGAAGGCGGCUUGCCAGAACGCGCUCGACGGUGAGGGAUGAAAGCUGGGGGAGCAAACCGGAUUAGAUACCCGGGUAGUCCCAG
rnacentral:rRNA from 1 species